AAUAUACUUAUACAAUACAUUUUUGUUUUGGACUCCUACGGAGACUCCUAAAAAUUCAGAAAUGCAAGGUCAAACCCUGAGUGCUUUUAGGCAGACAAACGUGACUCAUAAAUUUGUGAUGGCAUCUGCAAGGAUUGGGAAAUGCUCUGGAGUUAUGAAUAAUACACUGGUAACAGAGUUGGGAUGGAUAGGUAACAGAUGAGCUCUGAAAAAAAAUAUUUCUGUGCUUCCUCAGAGAUCAGCAUGUCUUGGACAUUUGUGUUUUGGUUAUUUAUCAGGGUAUAAUGAAGAGACAGAUAUGAGGAUUCUCUCUAGAAAUGGAUGAGGAAGGAUCCCCUGAACAGUGAGGGAGGAUAUACUAUUGAAAACUUUCUUUCAAAUACAUACUGACUUUAAAAAUAGGGUCUUCUAUUACCAUGACUACGUAUCACAGCCUUUUGCAUACUGCUAAUUGCAAUGUCAGGAUUUUAGCUUUAUUCACAGGAUACCGAUGGAGAUAUUUUGCUCAAAUUAAAACAAAAAUAAGGUAGAAAUUAAUCCAUAAAGAAGCAGUGCUUCCAUCUGAGGAGUCAUUUGGUACCUUUGGUUGGCAAAAUUGCUGAGCCAAGUAAGCAAAUGAGCAAGCUUGUUGCCCAGGAAGUUAAAGAUGGAAAUAUUCACAAUUUGUGCAUUCCUGUCAGGAACCUUUGGACUGGGAUCAGUUUCUUGUGAGAAAUCUUCGCACCAAAGCUUCAGCUGGAACUGAGGAAACAUAAUGUAUUUAAUUGAUUAGGAUUUUACUGGAUAACCAGCAGUGGUGAGACCUCUAACUACCAUGAAUAAAUGUGAUUAGAUGCUAAAAAAUUACCAGAUUUUCAUUAAUCAGACUUUAUGUCCAAAUGCAAUUUCCAGAAAGUAAAAUCUUAUUUCCUUU